GAUGAACGCUGGCGGCGUGCCUAAUACAUGCAAGUCGAGCGAACGGACGAGAAGCUUGCUUCUCUUAUGUUAGCGGCGGGCGGGUGAGUAACACGUGGAUAACCUACCUAUAAGACUGGGAUAACUUCGGGAAACCGGAGCUAAUACCGGAUAAUAUUUUGAACCGCAUGGUUCAAAAGUGAACGACGGUCUUGCUGUCACUUAGAGAUGGAUCCGCGCUGCAUUAGCUAGUUGGUACGGUAACGGCUUACCAAGGCAACGAUGCAUAGCCGACCUGAGAGGGUGAUCGGCCACACUGGAACUGAGACACGGUCCAGACUCCUACGGGAGGCAGCAGUAGGGAAUCUUGCGCAAUGGGCGAAAGCCUGACGGAGCAAUGCCGCGUGAGUGAUGAAGGUCUUCGGAUCGUAAAACUCUGUUAUUAGGGAAGAACAUAUGUGUAAGUAUAUGUGCACAUCUUGACGGUACCUACUCAGAAAGCCACGGCUAACUACGUG
rnacentral:rRNA from 1 species